rnacentral:rRNA from 1 species
UGUUGGGAGAUGAGCCCGCGUACCAUUAGCUUGUUGGUAGGGUAAUGGCCUACCAAGGCAACGAUGGUUAGCUGGUCUGAGAGGAUGAUCAGCCACACUGGAACUGACACACGGUCCAGACUCCUACGGGAGGCAGCAGUGAGGAAUUUUGCGCAAUGGGGGAAACCCUGACGCAGCAACGCCGCGUGAGUGAUGAAGGCCUUCGGGUCGUAAAGCUCUGUCAAGUGGGAAGAAACUGCCCUGUGGUAAUAUCACCGGGCACUGACGGUACCACUGAAGGAAGCACCGGCUAACUCCGUGCCAGCAGCCGCGGUAACACGGGGGGUGCAAGCGUUAUUCGGAAUCACUGGGCGUAAAGAGCGCGUACGCGGUCUCUUAAGUCAGAUGUGAAAGCCCGGGGCUCAACCCCGGAUGUGCAUUUGAAACGGAGGGACUUGAGUAUGGGAGAGGGAUAUGGAAUUCCUGGUGUAGCUCUGAAGCGCGUAGAUGUAAGGAAGAACCCCGGGGGCGAAGCCGGCUUCCUGAUCCAUAACUGACCUGAUGCGCGAGGACUGGGAAACAAAACAAGUCUAGAAACUCCGUAGCCUCCCAUCAAACAUUGUAACUAGCGUGUAGGUCUUGAUGCUGGCGCGCGAAGCUAAG